GUCCUAUCUCCAUAACUACACCCGACAGCGUCAAUCUCGUCGUCGCCCCUGUUCUCACCACCAUGAACAGCCUCUGUCCAUGCCCGUGAGACUAGCCAUGCCGGUGCGCUGUCCCAUCGUGUGGUUAUGCCUGGCAUUAGUUACGACGCGCACGACCAGCGAGCUCGCAGCCCCAUCGCCGUCUCGGUCAUCUACAAUUGCUUCGAGCACCACGGCAUCCAGUCCACCGCGGUAGAUCUUCGUCUCGGUCACCGGAUGUAUCUGGCACGCGAGGAACAUUGCUGGAGUCGCCCCCCUCAUCUGCAGCUCGAGCUCGGCGGUCCCUCCUAUCUAGACCGUUGGCUUGCUAUGCGAUUUGUGCAGGAAAGGAGCGGCACGAGUGCGCAGCGGUUGCAUGCAGCGUCAUUUGCAGGCGCUGCCGUGCGCAGCCGCCCCUCGUCUCCCAUCCGCAUCUCACCCCGGCGCUGAUGGAAUCCUCUGCCUCGGUGGUGUCUCCACCUAUUUAACUGUUGAAAGAAGCUAGGUCGCUGAGUUUGAGAUCCAUAGUGUAUACGAGGAGAUGGAAAGGAAGACAAAAGAGGAUGCCAGAUUAUAACAUACCUCUGAUCCAGGCAGAUGGAGACGGACGUCAUUGCGGAUGGAUCUGGAGGCGCCGCAAUCAAAAUCUGUUCGGCCGCUGCCGCUAUCGCCAUGAUGGGCUCCUCUGCCUCGUUGGUGUCUCCACCUCUUUUCCUGUUGAAAGAAGCGAGCUCGCUGCUCUCCAGAUCCAUGGUGCUGCAAGCAGAUACAAAAGAGGAGAAAGAGGAUGCCAGAGUAAAACAGCUAUGCGUUGCCUGAUAGAAGGAACGAGAUUACACGCGUCGUACUUGCACAGAGGAGUCGUCCAGUCCUGUUGGUUGUCCGUCGUUCAGUGGAACGCAUAGCUGUUUGAUGGGCCUAGUCACGUGGGGCCCUUCACGUCUUGUCUAGUAGCCUACUAGGCCCAUCAAAUUUGAAUCUUUUGCAGCCUCCCGCCAGAGUAUUAGGGCUUGAUUCCCGUGGCAGAGCUGCUGUUAUUCAAACACUAGAUGACCCGUUGCGCCAAUGGCGCAAAGGCCGAAUGUAAGCUAAUCGAUGUGAGAGUAUGCUCUAACAUAUUAUUGUUCAAAAAGAAUAGCUUAUAUACAUUGGUUGAAUGUGUACAGGAUCGAUUGGAAAAUCUUAAUAUGAGCUUGUAAGGGUGUGUUUGGUUCAGGAACAAAGUGUAAUGGAAUGUCAUGGUUCCGUUCCAUAGAAAUGGAAUGGUUCCGUCUCUGUGUUUGGUAUAAGAAUGUAGUGGAAUGGAACGGUUACGUCUCCAUGUUUGGUUGGUGGAAUGGUAUGGAAUGAAAAUUGUUCAAAUUGGUGUUU